rnacentral:lncRNA from 1 species
UAAUCAUAUAAUGUUUAGCAAAUUAGCUCUAGGGAUUAAAAUAAGAGCGACAGUCCAAUAUAACCCUCACACACAUUAGUUCUAAACUUACAGUCCACAACCAUCACAUCAGUCCAAAGUUUAGAUACUUCAGUACAACCAACAAUAGGAUUUAAAGGAUUUCACAUAGAAACAGCUCCAGAAGACAGCCAUCAAAGCAUCACACCGAACAGCAAAGACAACCAUCAAAGCAUCACAACGAACAACAGCUCCAAAAGAAAUCCAAGAAAGCAUGGACGGGGAGGUCUUGUUCCAUCGAAAAUGCUCCAACUUCAAUGCUCCAAGCUCCAGCUAGGUAACAUUUCAAAGACAAAUAUAGGUGAUAAGUAGCAUUUAGAACAACAUUAGUACAUGAUAAGUAGCAACUAGAAUAGCACUACUAAGAGACAAGUAGCAAUUAGAACAGCACUAGUAGGUGACUGGUAGCAAUUAGAACAGCACUAGUAGGUGAUAAGUAGCAAUUACAACAGCCAUACAAGAAGAUAAGUAGAAAUUACAACAGUACUAGGCGAUAAUUGACAAGUAGCAAUUAGAACAACAGUACUGAUCAUUACACAGUGAGCAUAAACAUUAGAGCACCAGAAUAAGAAAGCAAUGUACAUCAAGCUAUUUAAAGAUCAACCACUUCAAACAUAUGCAUCAAGCGAGAUUUUUCAAAGUAAUCAUCAUGAAGAAGAAACACCGAAAAGAAGAGACUUACCAAAUCUAUGAGUAGAGGCUAUUGACUUCCUUGACCCAGGCAUUUCUGAUAUGCCAUCCACUUUGUUGAUUGUAUGGCAAUUUUAUUCCGGGAGUUCUUUGACAUGCAGAUUGUCUUCCUACUGGUACUUGAGGAAGAUCUAUAUGUCUUCUCAUCACGAGGCUCAGUGUCAAUGCCCAAGAGUGUGAUGCAAUUUGGGAGUAGAUGGAAGAGCUUUAUGGUGUUCCAAAUGUCAUAUUUAUCCUUGAAUCCCAUCUACAAAUCAUUGUCAGCUAUUCCUAGUGUUGAUGAGCAUAUGAAGUUGUGCACACAUACAUAAUAAAAAUGAAUUGAGGGGUCAUGGCUACGUAUAACAUGUUAGAACAAUCCGACACAUAAAGUUUGUAAAACAUAUGAGAGUAUUGCACCGUAAAAUAAGAUAUUUCAAUAUUUCGUAACAUAAGUGUACAUUAUUUGAGUGUUUUAUAGUGCACAUAUCACCAUAUAUACUUUUCUAUGCGCACCUACAUAUCUGUGUACAAAUCCUAGUUAUGGCUGUAUGAAUGUGAAUGUGUUGAAUCAUAGUUGGUGAAUGUCAACGAAGUGAGGGAAAAAAUACAUGGCACACUAGGAAUAGUGAGAAGAAAGAUGCAUGGAAGAGAUGAGGGCCAGGAUUAGAUCCUAAGGCAAACCAAAACAAUGAUGGCGAAGAAUACGACGAUAAUGAGAUCUAUAUUCAUUGAACGGUUGUUGCAAGCCACCCCAUUCCCCCCCCCCCACACACACACAACAAAAAGUAGCUUCAUCGUUACGAACAUAUUAAAAUGUUCUUUUCAUAAUCACCAUGAAACAAGUGGUCAUAAACCGUGUGUUCCUGUCAUAAUCUGUAUGAGAAAGGGUGUUAUGGGCCACCAGGAAGAUUUUAUUUGGCAUAACAUAUUUUUACCAAUGGUCUCAUAAACCACAUGAUGCCCUGUUAAGGGAGAACUUUUUACCACUUAGAGCAGUGCUCUUGAGUCGUUAUUGCUCACCUCCAUAUUCAUUUGUUGAACACUGAGAGAAAGGGAGCAACGGCUGAAGCGCAUGAUGUGUUGUUCCUCUAGUAAGAGCAUAGUAUAAUUUAUAUCUUCAACAAAGUAUCAUCAGGUUGCUUCUUUCAUUUUGGAACUCUCGUGCAUGCAAAUGCGCUUUUCAGCAAAUCGGUUGAGCAUAGAAGUUGUAUGCAUGACUGUUACAUGCAUAGCUAUACAUGAAUGUCUUUUUGCAUGUCAAAGUUAGUUAGGUUCACCUGAGUCGUAUGACUACUCUAUAUAGGAGUAUGAGUUAUCCUAGUGGUAUAAAUACCAAGUGUUUGUCUAUGUUUAACCCACUAAAUCCCAUUAACAUUGAGUACUAAGAAGAGGAUAUAAAUAUACAGAGGAUGAGAUAUUGGAGUAUACCAUAAUAUAGAAGGGUUGGGGUUCCGAUUUGCCAUGCUUAUUUACAUUGUAAGCCUCAGGGUAGAUUUCCACUCAUGUGCAUCCAUGGCCAUUGUUGACGCCAUCCCAUGCUCGCUAAUGUACCGCAUAGUGGAAAGAGGCAACCUGGCUUUCCACGUCCCCGUGGCGCACUUCCGCUCAAACACCUUUCUGGACGCAACAGUCAGUGCGAUAGGAUCCGUCUCCUUUGGGUUGCCGGCCGUCCCACCAAGAAGCCAGAGGGCCUUGUCGCAUCACUCAUGUUGAAUUGGCAGGGCUCAUGAAACAUCUAGGCGUCGACGAUAUCACUGGUCUUGGAUCAGCAACGGUGUCGUGGCCAGUGCGCCAUUAAUCACCGAGCUCAGCGCAGGCACGAGGGUUGGCCUCGAGCACACGCUCUCACUAGUCAACACCACGCGAGGAUUGGAUCGGAGGUGCUUCAGAUGAGAUCAGAUGUUUUCAGAUGCAUGUACGUGAGAGUUACAUACACAUCAUUGUACAGAUGGGUUGUCGCUGUGUGGCUUGCGGGUAACCAACUCGGUGUUGGAGUCAAUAGUCCUCCCUCCAAAAAAUAUAUAUAUAUAUAUAUAUUUGAUAUCCUCGUGUUAGAGAGAUACCUCCUCACUACCGUUUAACGGCCAUGAUGUUAUAAUUAGCAGAUAAGAACACUGUAUUCAAUUCAUGCAAAAAGCAACUCAUCCAAAAGUCUGAACUGAUGCAGGGGCGGCCAAUAUAUUUCAACACUUCCCUCAUGUCUAGUCCUAUUUAGUUCUUAACGUGGGAUUGAUGAUGUAGGCCGUAGAAUCUUUUUUCAAUAUUGUGCUGGCAGGGUCUUAAAGUCGAGAACUCUUCGCUCAGAUGUCAUAUCGAAUUCAUGCACCAGCCAAUCAUCCAAAACUUCAAACUGAUGGAAGGGGCGGGCAAUAUAUUUCAACACACUGUUGCACAACUGAGUUCAUAUCCCAUUAAACCCAUUAAGUUACAUGUGAAGGGCGGCCAAACAACUAUGCAAGGUGCCACAAGUGUUGGGGAACGUAGUAAUUUCAAAAAAUUUCCUACGCACACGCAAGAUCAUGGUGAUGCAUAGCAACGAGAGGGGAGAGUGUGUCCACGUACCCUCGUAGACUGAAAGCGGAAGCGUUAGCACAACGCGGUUGAUGUAGUCGUACGUCUUCACGAUCCGACCGAUUAAGUACCGAACGCACGACACCUCCGAGUUCUGCACACAUUCAACUCGAUGACGUCCCUCGAACUCCGAUCCAGCCGAGCUUUGAGGGAGAGUUCCGUCAGCACGACGGCGUGGUGAUGAUGAUGAUGUUCUACCGACGCAGGGCUUCGCCUAAGCACCGGUACGAUAUAAUCGAGGUGGAUUAUGGUGGAGGGGGGCACCGCACACGGCUAAGAGAUCAAGAGAUCAAUUGUUGUGUCUCCAAGGGGUGCUCCUUUCCCCGUAUAUAAAGGAGUGGAGGAGGGGGAGGGCCGGCCCUCUCUAUGGCGCGCCCUAGGAGGAGUCCUACUCCCACCGGGAGUAGGAUUCCCCCCCUUCCAAGUAGUAGGAGUAGGAGUCAAGGAAAGGGAAGAGGGAAGAGAANNNNNNNNNNNNNNNNNNNNNNNNNNNNNNNNNNNNNNNNNNNNNNNNNNNNNNNNNNNNNNNNNNNNNNNNNNNNNNNNNNNNNNNNNNNNNNNNNNNNNNNNNNNNNNNNNNNNNNNNNNNNNNNNNNNNNNNNNNNNNNNNNNNNNNNNNNNNNNNNNNNNNNNNNNNNNNNNNNNNNNNNNNNNNNNNNNNNNNNNNNNNNNNNNNNNNNNNNNNNNNNNNNNNNNNNNNNNNNNNNNNNNNNNNNNNNNNNNNNNNNNNNNNNNNNNNNNNNNNNNNNNNNNNNNNNNNNNNNNNNNNNNNNNNNNNNNNNNNNNNNNNNNNNNNNNNNNNNNNNNNNNNNNNNNNNNNNNNNNNNNNNNNNNNNNNNNNNNCCAUAUACUUCUUCCCCCGUAUUCCCGUAAAUCCCCGGUACUCCGAAAAAUACCCGAACCACUCGGAACCUUUCCGAUGUCCGAAUAUAGUCGUCCAAUAUAUCGAUCUUUAUGUCUCGACCAUUUCGAGACUCCUCGUCAUGUCCCCAAUCUCAUCCGGGACUUCGAACUACCUUCGGUACAUCAAAACACAUAAACUCAUAAUAUAACCGUCAUCGAACUUUAAGCGUGCGGACCCUACGAGUUUGAGAACAAUGUAGACAUGACCGAGACACGUCUCCGGUCAAUAACCAAUAGCGGAACCUGGAUGCUCAUAUUGGCUCCCACAUAUUCUACGAAGAUCUUUAUCGGUCAAACCGCAUAACAACAUACGUUGUUCCCUUUGUCAUCGGUAUGUUACUUGCCCGAGAUUCGAUCGUCGGUAUCUCAAUACCUAGUUCAAUCUCGUUACUGGCAAGUCUCUUUACUCGUUCCGUAAUACAUCAUCCCGCAACUAACUCAUUCGUUACAAUGCUUGCAAGGCUUAUAGUGAUGUGCAUUACUGAGUGGGCCCAGAGAUACCUCUCCGACAAUCGGAGUGACAAAUCCUAAUCUCGAAAUACGCCAACCCAACAAGUACCUUUGGAAGCACCUGUAGAGCACCUUUAUAAUCACCCAGUUAUCUUGUGACGUUUGGUAGCACACAAAGUGUUCCUCCGGUAAACGGGAGUUGCAUAAUCUCAUAGUCAUAGGAACAUGUAUAAGUCAUGAAGAAAGCAGUAGUAACAUACUAAACGAUCGAGUGCUAAGCUAACGGAAUGGGUCAAGUCAAUCACAUCAUUCUCCUAAUGAUGUGAUCCUAUUAAUCAAAUAACAACUCUUUGUCCAUGGUUAGGAAACAUAACCAUCUUUGAUUAACGAGCUAGUCAAGUAGAGGCAUACUAGUGACAUUUUGUUUGUCUAUGUAUUCACACAUGUAUCAUGUUUCCGGUUAAUACAAUUCUAGCAUGAAUAAUAAACAUUUAUCAUGAUAUAAGGAAAUAAAUAAUAACUUUAUUAUUGCCUCUAGGGCAUAUUUCCUUCAGUCUCCCACUUGCACUAGAGUCACUAAUCUAGUUCACAUCACCAUGUGAUUUAAUACCAAUAGUUCACAUCACCAUGUGAUUAACACCCAUAGUUCACAUCGUCAUGUGACCAACACCCAAAGGGUUUACUAGAGUCAAUAAUCUAGUUCACAUCGCUAUGUAAUUAACACCCAAAGAGUACUAAGGUGUGAUCAUGUUUUGCUUGUGAGAGAAGUUUAGUCAACGGGUCUGCCACAUUCAGAUCCGUAUGUAUUUUGCAAAUUUCUAUGUCAACAAUGCUCUGCACGGAGCUACUCUAGGUAAUUGCUCCCACUUUCAAUAUGUAUCCAGAUUGAGACUUAGAGUCAUCUGGGUCAGUGUCAAAAUUUGCAUCGACGUAACCCUUUACGACGAACCUUUUUGUCACCUCCAUAAUCGAGAAACAUAUCCUUAUUCCACUAAGGAUAAUUUUGACCGUUGUGCAGUGAUCUACUCCUAGAUCACUAUUGUACUCCCUUGCCAAAAUCAGUGUAGAGUAUACAAUAGAUCUGGUACACAGCAUGGCAUACUUUAUAGAACCUAUGGCCAAGGCAUAGGGAAUGACUUUCAUUCUCUUUCUAUCUUCUGCCGUGGUCGGGCUUUGAGUCUGACUCAAUUUCACACCUUGUAACACAGGCAAGAACUCUUUCUUUGACUAUUCUAUUUUGAACUACUUCAAAAUCUUGUCAAGGUAUGUACUCAUUGAAAAACUUAUCAAGCGUCUUGAUCUAUCUCUAUAGAUCUUGAUGCUCAAUAUGUAAGCAGCUUCACCGAGGUCUUUCUUUGAAAAACUCCUUUCAAACACUUCUUUAUGCUUUGCAGAAUAAUUCUACAUUAUUUCCGAUCAACAAUAUGUCAUUCACAUAUACUUAUCAAAAAUGUUGUAGUGCUCCCACUCACUUUCUUGUAAAUAUAGGCUUCAUCGCAAGUCUGGAUAAAACUAUAUCCUUUGAUCAACUUAUCAAAGCGUAUAUUCCAACUCCGAGAUGCUUGCAAGACUGUCAACCUUGUAAAAUGUUGAGCAAAGAGAUUCCUAUAACAACACUUACAAUUACAGUGAUAAGAUCUUCCUCGCAGGUUCAGUGACGCCGCCAAGCCCAAUCGCCGUGAAAAAAUUGACCGCGAAGCGCGUGUUCUCGGCAGAGUCCCGGGGGAACAGGGCGUCACGGACCUCCGGCUCGUCGUCGUCGUUCAUCCUCCGGCCGAGCAGCCGUACCCUGAGCUGCUCCGCCAUCUCCUGGAACAUUACCUUCAUGAAGAUGCGCGACGACGAGGUGGUGUCCUCCUCCGCGAUCCUGACCCCGCCCAGCAUGCUGCGCCAUGGGACGGCGUCGGCCGCCAGCAGGCGCGCGAAGAGCCCCGCGGCCGCCCGCAGCUCGUCGGUGCCCAUGCGGUGCGCCGCCGCGUAGCACCGCUCGAAGCACGCCUCGAAGCCUGCCUGGUACGCUCGGCUGAUCCCGCACAACCGCUGCCCGAGGUGGCCGUAGAACCGUGUGUUGGACGACGCCCUCUCGUGCUUGCAGCACUCCACGAGCAUGCCGCAGAGCUCCGCCUCCUGGCCCGGCCUCACGAUGGACAGGAGCUUGUGCCCGGCCUCCUCAGCACCGACGCUCGACAUGAUCGUCAGGUAUAUCGUUCUCCGGAGGUUGAUCAGAUUGAUCUCCGUCUCGUCCUUGAUCACCUCCAUAUCCUCACUGUCAUCGUCGUCGUCGUCGUCGUCGGGCUUGUCUUCUUCAAUGACCUCACCAUCAUCUCCUAGCAUGCUUCGUUUGAGGUCCUCGUAGGCUGCCUCGUCCUGCACGAAGGUGGCGCUUGGCUUGAACACAUCGAGAUGGGUCUCGGGGUCGAGCUGAUCAGCAUGGCUGUCCCUGCGUUUUGAUUUUCGGUUUGCCAUUUUUUUCGGCCCUGAACGAAAUGGCCGAAUUUCGGCCAUUUCAAAAUUUUCGGCAAAAUUUCAGACGAAAUUACAAAAUCAAAUUUUGAAUUUUCCGAUAAAAUUUGGCCGAAAUUCGGCCGAAAUUUGACCAAAAAUUCACAGAAAUUUGAAAUCAAGCAAAGCAAAAGCAUAGCAGCCCAACAACCAUCAGGAGUAAUCAUAUAAUGUUUAGCAAAUUAGCUCUAGGGAUUAAAAUAAGAGCGACAGUCCAAUAUAACCCUCACACACAUUAGUUCUAAACUUACAGUCCACAACCAUCACAUCAGUCCAAAGUUUAGAUACUUCAGUACAACCAACAAUAGGAUUUAAAGGAUUUCACAUAGAAACAGCUCCAGAAGACAGCCAUCAAAGCAUCACACCGAACAACAAAGACAACCAUCAAAGCAUCACAACGAACAACAACUCCAAAAGAAAUCCAUGAAAGCAUGGACGGGGAGGUCUUGUUCCAUCGAAAAAGCUCCAGCUUCAAUGCUCCAUGCUCCAGCUAGGGAACAUUUCAAAGACAAAUAUAGGUGAUAAGUAGCAUUUAGAACAGCAUUAGUACAUGAUAAGUAGCAAAUAGAAUAGCACUACUAAGAGACAAGUAGCAAUUAGAACAGCACUAGUAGGUGACUGGUAGCAAUUAGAACAGCACUAGUAGGUGAUAAGUAGCAAUUACAACAGCCAUACAAGAAGAUAAGUAGAAAUUACAAGAGUACUAGGCGAUAAUUGACAAGUAGCAAUUAGAACAACAGUACUGAUCAUUACACAGUGAGCAUAAACAUUAGAGCACCAGAAUAAGAAAGCAAUGUACAUCAAGCUAUUUAAAGAUCAACCACUUCAAACAUAUGCAUCAAGCGAGAUUUUUCAAAGUAAUCAUCAUGAAGAAGAAACACCGAAAAGAAGAGACUUACCAAAUCUAUGAGUAGAGGCUGUUCACUUCCUU